AUCUGAAACUCUCGAGCUCCACGUUACAUAUUCCGUUAGGAAAUUGUAAUACUCUCUCUAAUGAAUGAAUGAAGAUCAAAAGCAAAACCUGCCUUCGUUUGUUGCAAAAAUAAAUGUCUCAAAAUGCACGAAAAACCAGUUCAAGCAGCAAUCAACCAAAAUUCAGGAAGCAUUUGAGCGACGUCAUCAACAACUCUGUUGGCUGUCUGUCUGAAAAGCGAAAGGAAACGAACGAAUCAACAUACAAUACAACUUCGACGGUGGGGUUCCUAUUUCCAACUAAUUAACCAUAAAGAUUUAUGUUAACAAAUGUCUACGAAUGCCUUUCAAAGUGCCUACUGCCAGGUGUUCCGGCCAGUUUGCGGUUAGCCACAGUUGGUCAAGCUUUAGUUGGCUAUUUAUCUGGUUAAUGGCACAGUUUUGUCUUAAAUUUUUGAUGAUUCGACAAGGUCGUUGGCCAGUAGCUCAAAGAAUAUUUAUAAUACGGCAUGAAAAUCGUAUCAAAUGGCAAAGAGCACGAAUCAAAACAAAACAAAAUGAUAAAUAAAAAAAUAAAUUCUGAUAAUCAACGAAAUCAUUUAACCUCGGUAACUUUAUUACGAAAGAAAGAAGCAUGAUAAAA